rnacentral:rRNA from 1 species
UGGGGAAUAUUGCACAAUGGGCGCAAGCCUGAUGCAGCCAUGCCGCGUGUAUGAAGAAGGCCUUCGGGUUGUAAAGUACUUUCAGCGGGGAGGAAGGCGAUAAGGCUAAUAACCUUGUCGAUUGACGUUACCCGCAGAAGAAGCACCGGCUAACUCCGUGCCAGCAGCCGCGGUAAUACGGAGGGUGCAAGCGUUAAUCGGAAUUACUGGGCGUAAAGCGCACGCAGGCGGUCUGUCAAGUCGGAUGUGAAAUCCCCGGGCUCAACCUGGGAACUGCAUUCGAAACUGGCAGGCUAGAGUCUUGUAGAGGGGGGUAGAAUUCCAGGUGUAGCGGUGAAAUGCGUAGAGAUCUGGAGGAAUACCGGUGGCGAAGGCGGCCCCCUGGACAAAGACUGACGCUCAGGUGCGAAAGCGUGGGGAGCAAACA